CCAGCCCGUGCCAGAACCAGGGCAGCUGCCACAACGACCCCCUUGGAGCGUACAGGUGUGCCUGCCGCAGCGGCUAUAAGGGCAGAGACUGUGAGGUGUCCCUGGACAGCUGUUCCAGUGGCCCCUGCGAAAACGGCGGGACCUGCCACACACAGGAGGGCGAGGAUUCCGGCUUCAUGUGCUCCUGUCCUACUGGCUUUGAAGGACCAACCUGUGGGGUGAACACAGACGACU